UCUCUGACAGUUUGUAUUCCGUUUGAUAAUUCUCUACCUUAGACCCAGAUUAACUUCACUUUCAUGAGCUUUGACACCUAGACUCAGUGCUUCUCUUCUUGUUGUUUGAUGCAUUAAUCUUGACAGUCCUGGUCCUGAAACUGUGAUUUUCUGUCCCCUUCGUUUAUUCACCAUAUCUGUAAGAGUCUCAGUUAGACUUAAACAUUUAGUCUAAAAUCCAAUGAUGGAUGUGAAUCAGUUAUUGGAGUCGCAGUGCAAGAGCAUGUCUGGAGUGGGGCAGGGGCAAAUCUGACUGGCCACCCCAAGAAUCCUUGAUUAUUGGGUGUUAGCAUACUGCAUGGUUUUUGCAGGUAAAAUCACUCUGUCGGGUCUUUGUGAUGUGUUUGACCUCUGACACCAGCCUGAUUAGCUGCAUCUGUAUGCUUAGCUCAUAGCUGCUAACCCAAACUGGAAAUAUUCAGUGAUAUUUGGUUCAGUUUAACACAAAGUGCAGAUCACUCUUGACUUGUAAACCGAGCCGUCUGGCAGUUUUUAAGUAAAGCGUGCCAUUCAAAAGCACAGUGAGGUUGUUAUUUUCCAUCACAGCAGCAGCAGGAAGCAGGAGGAUGCUGCAGCAGUUUAGCUACAGUGUGCCAAAAGGGACAUAAAAGAACGACAUUGAGAAAAAUAAAACUGAAGUUUGAACCUUGGCAGCCCUAGUUUUAGCUCAAUAGGUUUGAGUCCUGCUUGUCCUUAUUGUCUCUUUAUUACUGCAUAGACUUAUCUUUCCCCACUUUGGUAUCACUAAUUCAGCUGUAAAAUAUCUGAGUACUUCUCUUCCAACUUCUGAGUAGAGGCUAAAGCAGAAUCAAAUAUAAAUACGCAGAUAGAGUAAAAAUACUUCAUAGUGGGGGUGUAUAAUACUCCAUUUAAUGUGCUGAGUGACUGUCCAGCACUGAAGACAAACUGCUGCAGAGAGGAGACCUGAUACCUGAUCCCCUCAGCCUCAUCGAUCAGUUUAUUGAUCAGACGGCGUCAUCAGAUUGAAAAUGAUCUCCCCCAAGAGACACACACACCUCCUUCUAUCAUUUCAUCUAAAAAAAACAAAAACAACAAAAGAAGACGUCACUUUGUUUUCUAAGACACCAGAGAGUUUAAGUUCAGCAUUUUGUGAAAAUUUAGGCAGAAAUCCUGCAGAUAGAAACUUUAAACCCUGUGGACAUGUAAAUUCAUCUUAAUGCAUCUAAAAUAAAUCAUGAUAAAGAAUCAGACGUCACGAAAUUGCUGAUGCUGUUGUUGUUGUGAAAUGCAACCGGAAAAACUAUUUUCUGCAGAAAUAUCAGAACCUGGGAGUCUGUAAACCUGAGAUUUUGCACCUUCAGUCUAAUUGUAGAUGCCCUGAGGUUCUGGCUGUUUCCUGCGGGAGAGAGUAACCACAGCUCACAGUCAGGGUCAAACAGACAGCCAUACAAGGUUUUAAUUAUUCAGAGUCACAUGACACCAGCAGGGUCAAUACAAGAGGGAGGGUCACAGACAGACGGGCUAAAAUCUGAUGGAUCUGCAGAAAAUCAGAAUCACCACUGGCAGGGAUGUAGACUUCUGAAUAUUGUGAUUAAACAUGUUUAUGGCAAUAAUGGGACGGUGGAGUUUCACGAGAUUUACUCAGAUGAUUCAGUAUGCUUUCAAUACUUAAUUACUACAUUCAAGCAAGCAAGGGUCAGACUGUUGCUCAAAAAACCCACACUCAACACAGUCCAGGUUGAAAAUUGGAGGCUGGACUCACUCCUAUCAUUCCUAUCAAAAAUUGUAGAGCACACAGUCUUCACCCAACUCUCAGAAUACCUACAGAACCAUGAUGAACUUGAUCUGGAUCAGUCUGGCUCUAGGUCGGGCCAUUCUACUGAAACUGCACUCUUGUUGGUAAUGAAAUCGUUGUGCUUUGCUAAAGCAGCUGGUCAGUUCUCAGUUCCCAUGCUGCUGGAUCUGUCUGCUGCCUUUGACACAGUAAACCACCAAAUCCUCCUCUCCACACUCUCCUCACUUGGUAUCUCAGGGUCUGCCCUCCAGUGGUUCAAGCCCUGAAAUUAUCCCCUCCCAUGGCUUCUCCUAACAGUGCUAUGCAGAUGAUACUCAACUCUUCUGGUCUUUUCCACAUUAUAACACAACUGUCUCAGCCUGGAUCUCCUCCUGCCUUGCUAAUAUCUCUAAAUGAAUGAGGGAACGUCACCUUCAGCCCAGCCUGUCCAAAACUGAGCUUAUUAUUUUAGUUAGUCCCACUGUGGACCUGCAGAUCAAUAUCCAGUUUGGAUCUGGAUCAUAACCUCUUUCCUACUAAUUCUGCCUAAAAUCUGGGUGUGAUGAUUAAUGACCAGCUAACCUUCAGGGUUUAUGUUGCCUUGAUUGCCCUGUCCUGCAGAUUCGCCCUCUAUAACAUCAGGAGGAUCAGACCCUACCUGACAAAACAAUACAGUUCCUGGUCCAGGCUCUUGUAAUAUCAGCAUUGACAACUGCAUCUCCUUACUGGCAGACCUCCUCGCUUACAAAGUUAAACCUCUGCAAAUGAUCCAGAAUGCAGCAGCACGUCCGGUAUUCAACCAGCCCAAGACAGCUUAUGUCACUCCUCCGUUCAUCUCCCUUCACUGGCGCUGCUCGUAUCAAAUACAAAACUCUAAUCAUUGCUUACACAGCAGUAACCCAUACUACUCCUAUUUACCUCAUCCAGGUCUACACCCCGUCUCGCCUACCACACUCAGCCUCAGAAAGGUGUCUGGUGCUCCCAGCACAGGCCCCAAAAUCACUAGCCUGACUUUUCUCUUCUGUUGUCCC